rnacentral:rRNA from 1 species
CGAACGGGUGAGUAACACGUGGGUGAUCUGCCCUGCACUUUGGGAUAAGCCUGGGAAACUGGGUCUAAUACCGAAUAGGACCACGCGCUUCAUGGUGUGUGGUGGAAAGCUUUUGCGGUGUGGGAUGGGCCCGCGGCCUAUCAGCUUGUUGGUGGGGUAAUGGCCUACCAAGGCGACGACGGGUAGCCGGCCUGAGAGGGUGACCGGCCACACUGGGACUGAGAUACGGCCCAGACUCCUACGGGAGGCAGCAGUGGGGAAUAUUGCACAAUGGGCGCAAGCCUGAUGCAGCGACGCCGCGUGAGGGAUGACGGCCUUCGGGUUGUAAACCUCUUUCAAUAGGGACGAAGCGCAAGUGACGGUACCUAUAGAAGAAGCACCGGCCAACUACGUGCCAGCAGCCGCGGUAAUACGUAGGGUGCGAGCGUUGUCCGGAAUUACUGGGCGUAAAGAGCUCGUAGGUGGUUUGUCGCGUUGUUCGUGAAAACUCACAGCUUAACUGUGGGCGUGCGGGCGAUACGGGCAGACUAGAGUACUGCAGGGGAGACUGGAAUUCCUGGUGUAGCGGUGGAAUGCGCAGAUAUCAGGAGGAACACCGGUGGCGAAGGCGGGUCUCUGGGCAGUAACUGACGCUGAGGAGCGAAAGCGUGGGGAGCGAACAGGAUUAGAUACCCUGGUAGUCCACGCCGUAAACGGUGGGUACUAGGUGUGGGUUCCUUCCUUGGGAUCCGUGCCGUAGCUAACGCAUUAAGUACCCCGCCUGGGGAGUACGGCCGCAAGGCUAAAACUCAAAGGAAUUGACGGGGGCCCGCACAAGCGGCGGAGCAUGUGGAUUAA